rnacentral:rRNA from 1 species
GACGAACGCUGGCGGCGUGCUUAACACAUGCAAGUCGAACGGAAAGGCCCUGCUUUUGUGGGGUGCUCGAGUGGCGAACGGGUGAGUAACACGUGAGUAACCUGCCCUUGACUUUGGGAUAACUUCAGGAAACUGGGGCUAAUACCGGAUAGGAGCUCCUGCUGCAUGGUGGGGGUUGGAAAGUUUCGGCGGUUGGGGAUGGACUCGCGGCUUAUCAGCUUGUUGGUGGGGUAGUGGCUUACCAAGGCAUUGACGGGUAGCCGGCCUGGGAGGGUGACCGGCCACAUUGGGACUGAGAGACGGCCCAGACGCCUACGGGAGGCAGCAGUGGGGAAUAUUGCACAAUGGGCGGAAGCCUGAUGCAGCAACGCCGCGUGCGGGAUGACGGCCUUCGGGUUGUAAACCGCGUUCGCCUGUGACGAAGCGUGAGUGACGGUAAUGGGUAAAGAAGCACCGGCUAACUACGUG